rnacentral:rRNA from 1 species
CCUACGUGAGGCAGCAGUGAGGAAUAUUGGUCAAUGGGCGUAAGCCUGAACCAGCCAAGUCGCGUGAGGGAUGAAGGUUCUAUGGAUCGUAAACCUCUUUUAUAAGGGAAUAAAGUGUGGGACGUGUCCUAUUUUGUAUGUACCUUAUGAAUAAGGAUCGGCUAACUCCGUGCCAGCAGCCGCGGUAAUACGGAGGAUCCGAGCGUUAUCCGGAUUGAUUGGGUUUAAAGGGUGCGUAUGCGGCCUUUUAAGUCAGCGGUGAAAGUCUGUGGCUCAACCAUAGAAUUGCCGUUGCAACUGGGGGGCUUGAGUAUGUUUGCGGCAGGCGGAAUGCGUGGUGUCGCGGUGACAUGCUUCGAUAUCACGCAGAACCCCGAUUGCGACGGCAGUCUGCCAAGCCAUGCCUGACGCUGAUGCACGAAAGCGUGGGGCUCAAACAGGAUUAGAUACCCGGGUAGUC